GAAGAGGCUGUUCCUCGGAUGGGGGGAGUGGGUCCCCUUUCCAUUUCCUCUUCUUCCUCCAGCUCAUCAGGCUGCAGGAUGGUGGGGGUGGGGUUACCUGAUGCGACACAGUUGAGGACCACUGUGCCGUCCACAGCCACUGUCUGAUUGGUUGGGCCCUGUCUGAUCACUGGCGGCGGGCGGUCUGACACAACUAUGGACGGAGGAAGUCGAAUGAGCAAUUAUGUGGAGGAAUGGAAGGACAAAAACUGUGAAGCUGUUCAUGUGGUGUAGCAAGAACGAGAGAAAUGGAGGAUUCAGACAAUUAUAUCCAGCUUGUGUGGAGAAACACACAAAAGGCAGAAAAUGAAAAUGGCUGGCUGUGGGUUACCAGUGACCUCGCACUGGAAGGUGACGGUUCUGCCAACCCCAACCACCUGGUUCCUUGGUCUCACCACAAACGCUGGGGGCACUGGAGGACAGCCAUGAGAGUGGUGUUGUGUGAAGGUGAACAUCUCUGUGCCCUUAAUGAGGUUUAGAGCACCCUGAGGAGCAGCUAGAUCACAGUCUCUCAAACACAGCCAGGCAAAUGUAAGCCUGGUCCAUAAAAAUACAAGGUGUAGGAGCCUACAUCAGCUGGGGUCAGACGACGGAUCUUCAGGGUGUGGUCCUCACGAAUUUCAUAUCUGGAUGAAAACAGUUCUCCAUCAUCUUUCCUCCAGCGCACAGUGGGAACUGGGUCACCACGGGCCUCACACCUGAACUCUACACUUUGGUCCACCAACACCAC